rnacentral:rRNA from 1 species
AUUGAACGCUGGCGGCAUGCCUUACACAUGCAAGUCGAACGGUAACAGGUCUUCGGAUGCUGACGAGUGGCGAGCGGGUGAGUAAUACAUCGGAACGUGCCCGAGAGUGGGGGAUAACGAGGCGAAAGCUUUGCUAAUACCGCAUACGAUCUCAGGAUGAAAGCAGGGGACCGCAAGGCCUUGCGCUCACGGAGCGGCCGAUGGCAGAUUAGGUAGUUGGUGGGAUAAAAGCUUACCAAGCCGACAAUCUGUAGCUGGUCUGAGAGGACGACCAGCCACACUGGGACUGAGACACGGCCCAGACUCCUACGGGAGGCAGCAGUGGGGAAUUUUGGACAAUGGGCGCAAGCCUGAUCCAGCCAUGCCGCGUGCAGGAUGAAGGCCUUCGGGUUGUAAACUGCUUUUGUACGGAACGAAAAGACUCUGGUUAAUACCUGGGGUCCAUGACGGUACCGUAAGAAUAAGCACCGGCUAACUACGUGCCAGCCGCCGCCGUAAUAC